UACGUAGGGCGCAAGCGUUGCUCGGAAUCACUGGGCGUAAAGGGUGCGUAGGCGGGUCUUUAAGUCAGGGGUGAAAUCCUGGAGCUCAACUCCAGAACUGCCUUUGAUACUGAGGAUCUUGAGUACGGGAGAGGUGAGUGGAACUGCGAGUGUAGAGGUGAAAUUCGUAGAUAUUCGCAAGAACACCAGUGGCGAAGGCGGCUCACUGGCCCGUAACUGACGCUGAGGCACGAAAGCGUGGGGAGCAAACAGGG
rnacentral:rRNA from 1 species